rnacentral:misc_RNA from 1 species
AAGUCGUAACAAGGUUUCCGUAGGUGAACCUGCGGAAGGAUCAUUACAGGUUGUUGCGGCCGUUCCUCGUCCUCUUCGGGGGUCCGAGGGCGGCAACGACGCUUCAAAACCCUUUGUUUACAGUUAAAAACACUUUUAAACUCCAAAAUCAUAUGGAAUUUAUUGAAAUCAAAUAAAACUUUCAACAACGGAUCUCUUGGGACAC